rnacentral:rRNA from 1 species
GACGAACGCUGGCGGCGUGCCUAAUACAUGCAAGUCGAGCGAAGCGGCGGAUGGGUGAGCAACGCGUGGGCAACCUGCCCUUAAGGCUGGGAUACCAUUUGGAAACAGAUACUAAUAACGGCUACUGAAGGACGGACCUGCGAUUCAUUAGCUAGUUGGUAAGGUAACGGCUUACCAAGGCGAUGAUGCAUAGCCGAGUGGAGAGACUGAUCGGCCACAUUGGGACUGAGACACGGCCCAAACUCCUACGGGAGGCAGCAGUAGGGAAUCUUCCACAAUGGACGAAAGUCUGAUGGAGCAACGCCGCGUGAGUGAAGAAGGUUUUCGGAUCGUAAAGCUCUGUUGUUGGUGAAGCGGUAAUCAACCAGAAAGUCACGGCUAACUCCGUGCCAGCAGCCGCGGUAAUUC